GAGAGAGGAAACUGUAGGGGGUU
rnacentral:piRNA from 1 species